AUGAAUUGCAUAAUCUUUGUGGGGGCAAAAAAUUACCAAUGGUACUGGAAUCCCCCUAGAGGGAUGUCUGGGGGAAUCCUAGUUGGCAUUAAUAAAGAGAUGUUUGAUAUUGAACAUAUUGAAAAAGGACAGUAUUUUUUAAGAGUACUGCUGUUUGACAAGAAUAUCAAAAUGCAUUGGAAUUUAGUCACAGUUUAUGAGGAUGCACAGAAGGAAGGAAAAGCUAAUUUCCUUGCUGAGUUAGCUAGAUUAUAUCAUGACAAUCCUUUGCCCUGUUUGGUUGGAGGGGAUUUUAACAUCAUCAGAAACAAUAAGGAAAAAACAAACCUAUGA
rnacentral:rRNA from 1 species